GAAUUCUACAACAACAUGAAAUUCAAGGUCACUGAAACGAUGGAGAAGGAACCUUUGGAUGAGUUCACGUCUGAAAAAGAAGUAUCCAAGAGUGAUUCUGCAGAGGAGUCCUGACUGAGUAACAGCUGGCUGCGACUCCAACACACUGACUCCAGACUGCACUGAGACAUCUUAAAGCAUAAAACUAGUGUGAUGGUUUUCUGCCUUGUGUCCACUCUCCAGCUCAAUGAUUCAACUGCUAUUUAAUUGCCUUCAAAUCCUGUCAACAGAUCUCAAACAAUGCCCUUCCGCUCAAUGAUUCAACUGCUAUUUAUUGCCUUCAAAUGUCAACAGACCUCAAACAAUGCUCUCAAUUUAGGAGAUUUUUUAUUUUACCUUUAUUUAACUUGGCAAGUCAGUUAAGAACAAAUUCUUAUUUACAAUGACAGCCUAGGAACCGUGGG